rnacentral:tRNA from 1 species
UGAAAUCGUGAGGGUUCAAGUCCCUCUAUCCCCAAAAUGACUCGGUUGAC